CACUCUCACUCUCACUCUCACCCUCGCUCGAAGUCUCUCUCAGUCUCAGUCUCACUUUCGCUCUCGCUCAAAUUCUCUCUCACUCUCGGUCUCAUUCUCACUCUCUGUACUCAUCUCUUCAUCAGAUCCAUGAAGUUUGUCGAAGAUUUGAAGGUUGAUUCUUGAAGAUUCGAAGGUUGAUUCUCCAGAUUUGCAGUUGUCUCUCACUCUCGCUCUCGCUCUCAUUCUCUGUCUUAGUCUCACUGUCGCUCUUGCUCGAAUUCUCUUUCUCUCAGUCUCACUCUCACUCUCUGUACUCAUCUCUUCAUCAGAUCUAUGAAGUUUGUCGAAGAUUUGAAGAUUCGAAGGUUGAUUCUUGAAGAUUCGAAGGUUGAUUCUCCAGAUUUGCAGUUGUCUCUUUCGAUUUUAUCUCAUCGUUCAUCAAUUGGUCGAUUAAUCUACAUGAAACCUAUUUGAGAUUUGGCUUCUCAAAUCUUCCAUGAGGAUGAUGCAGAUGCUACAGCGGACACCUCAAACCAGGAAAUGCACAGUACUGCACCUUUUCUCAGAAGUGAAGCCCCCAGUUCCUCGUUGCUCCCUGAAAAUAGACAGUUCAAUCUUGAAGUCUCAUCUUUAAAUAUUCCAGUUGAUCAAAUGAAAACGAUUCAAAACAUUAACACAUUAAUUUCCGAGUUAGCAUUGGAGAAGGAAGAGUUGAUGCAAGCAUUGCUUGCUGAAUCAUCUGAAAGUUCCACACUGAAGUGAAAUGAAAUCUUAGAUGUCAAUAUUGGUUCUAAUCGGCAUACACUUGCAAAUUCUGAACACCUUGGAGACAAGCCGACAACUCAGGUGGAAGUUUGGGUUGAUGUGACCAGUUGUGAGAAGCAGCUUUUGGAACUGCUUGAUGUAGUGAAUUGCUAUUUAGAGUAUUGUGUAUUGUUGUUAGAUUUGCUACUAGUUGUUAAUUUGUAUUGAUGCUUAAAGCUGUUAAUUUGUAUUGAUGCUUAAAGCUGUUAA